AACGCAUAUUGCGGUCGAGGCUUCGGCCGAGACCAUGUCUGCCUCAGCGUCGGUGUGACCCCCACAUCCUUUCCCCAAAGGAUGGAUCUGGUCUCCCCGCACGCGCGCACGCCGCGCGGCGGGCUGGCCGAAAACCAGAGGUUUAAGCGUGGCCCUGUAUGGCACCAGCAAGGCAGGUAGCUCCGUCUACUCCAGCUGAUGCUUUGGGACCUCGCCCGAGCCGUCGCAGGAAAAAUACGCACCCUUUCGACCUGAGAUCAGGCAAGGCUACCCGCUGAACUUAA
rnacentral:misc_RNA from 1 species